ACAUCUUCAGUGUUUGACUCACUGCAAAGCCCAGCCUCCCUAUUGAGAAGCAGUCAAGGUACUGCGAUGUAGCUCCCAUGUUGAAAAACGAUCUCAGACCAACUCUGAGACAAGGAAUGCCUCCGGGUAUGAGACUCAUUUGUCGUUGACUAAUGGAUUUGUUGACUGUAAAUGGAGUCUGUAAAUUUCUACAAGUUGCUUCCUUGAUUUGUGCAGACUGUUCAUGGAUGAGAAUGCUGAAGGGAAUGGGGAGGCUGGUGCACACCCAACCGAAGCUGCAGGGCCCUUGCACUGCCCAGCCUAGAGGGCCUGGUUCUUGCUUAUUUGUUUUCUCUACUUGUUUAUUUUUCUCUGUACAUUUUCUGACUCAGUAAUGUGAGAGUAUUUGCAGAAAUGUAAAUCCUCAAAUCUUUCUCAGCAAGUUGAAUGUCUUUAUUACACAACCCACUUUAAAGUAGUCUUGUUUAUACAUUUAUUGGAAAUGAUCAAUAGUUAAACAGAUCCUAUAAGCAAUUAUAAGUAUAGUUUUACAAUUUAUUAAAUUAUUUCUUUAGCCCAACCACAGACCUGAAUACCGUGAUUAAGUUAUCUUGUUUAAGCCUUAAAAUAAUCCUAAGUAGUACGUACUCUUAUCAUCCCUAUGUGCUUAUAAACUCAAAAACUGUGGUAACUUGCCAAUACACACUGGAGCUGAGAUUAAACCAUGUCUGUGCAACUCUAAGCCCUGGAUCUCUGCAACUAUGCUAUAUAGGGAAUUUCAGAUCUGGAAGGACACUAGAUCCCAUUCUCUCCAACUUCUUCAUUGGACAGAUGGGAGAAGGGUGGCACACACAGCUAGUAGAGGACAAGCCAAGCUCAGAAACCAGAUUUCUUGCUGCCCAGUCCAAUGUUCUGACUAUAGUGCACUGCCAAAGGAAAAUUCUGUGAAGUUAGUUUUGUCCACGA
rnacentral:lncRNA from 10 species